CUGAGGCAGGUGAGGAGAGCUGGGGGGCUCCUUAUCCCACCCCAGUGGGGUCUGAUGCCAGGGGAAUGCAGGGUGGUGAUACAGCACAUUGCCUGUCCCAUUCCCAACCCCAUUAAACCCCAGAACUGGGACUGUAAGUAUUAAGAUAAGGGGAUAAGAGAAACCAGUGCAUGUGGUACAUCCCUGUUCCCAUUCCAUUGCACCCUGGCACUACAAAUACAAGAAAAGGAUCUCCCACAGUUUUUCACCUCAGGGUUUUUCUCAACUCUUGCUAAAAUUUCACCCUUCAUUUCCUAAGAUUUCCAUAAAUGGGGCACUGUAAUUCGGGGGGUUUAUCCAGGAGCUGUCUCUGCCCUCUCUGCAGGUCGGGGUCUUCUCCCCCUCCCACCGCAACCACUACCUCAACGUGACCCCCACCAACCUCCUCAGGAUCUUCCCACCUGAGCCCGAGGGCUGCUCCCCCCGGCAGGUCCCUGCCCAGGCUGAGCCGGCUCCAGACCCCCCUGCACAGCCCACCCGGGGUGUCCCUGCUCCUGAGGACUGGGGACAGUCGAGGACAAGUGGACACAGUGCAGAGCAGCGUCCUGGGGGCUCCCUGUGCCCACCGAGCUCUGAUCCCAGCUGGGAAGAGCCAGCAGGAGCUGAUGGAUGUGACAUGGAUGACCUGGACGGGCUCCUGGGAGAGCUGCCCGAGGAUUUCUUCUCAGCCCCAGCUCAGGUGGACUGUGGCUGAGCCCAGCAGAGGGUGACAGUGCCGAGGAGCAGGUGACACACCUGCCACCCACCCACCUGCUCCUCCCUCUGCGUGUCCGUGCUGUUCGUGGUGGAGCUGAGAGCUGGGGAGGCCCGGGGGAAGUGUCCUCAGCACUGUCCCCAAUCCUGGGGCACAGGGGCCCCUCUCGCUCCCAAACCUGCAUUAAAGGGCUGUUUUGUUUCUGCAUCACCUGUGUCCUCGUGUGUCACCCCUCUGUCCUUUCCCUGGCUGGGAGAAGCCGUUCCUGAGGGUCUCACAGCCCCGCAGGACUGAGGGGGGGUCCCCAAAUCCCUCCCCAUGGGACACCCCCACCUCGCACCCACCAACAGGUUAAACCUCCCCGCACCCCGUGACUCUGUUUACCACCACGAGUUAUUUAUAGGCCCCUGACUCUGGGAUUUGAUUCCACAUCCGUGUGUGGGGCACAGCCCUAUUUAUAACCCCCUCCCGAGGCUCAGGGCCCCGCUCGCUGUCCCCGGAGCCUCCCCUGCCCUGCGG
rnacentral:lncRNA from 1 species